GAUGAACGCUGGCGGCGUGCCUAAUACAUGCAAGUCGAGCGCGAUCAUGAGGAGCUUGCUCCUCAUGAUCGAGCGGCGGACGGGUGAGUAACACGUAGGCAACCUACCCUUGAGAUUGGGAUAACUACCGGAAACGGCAGCUAAUACCGGAUACGACUUUUCCACAUAAGUGGAAUGGUUAAAAGGCGGAUUUAUCUGCCGCUCAUGGAUGGGCCUGCGGUGCAUUAGCUAGUUGGGGAGGUAGUGGCUCACCAAGGCGACGAUGCAUAGCCGACCUGAGAGGGUGAUCGGCCACACUGGGACUGAGACACGGCCCAGACUCCUACGGGAGGCAGCAGUAGGGAAUCUUCCGCAAUGGACGAAAGUCUGACGGAGCAACGCCGCGUGAGUGAUGAAGGGUUUCGGCUCGUAAAACUCUGUUGUUAAGGAAGAACACUUGAGGUAGUAACUGGCCUUGAGAUGACGGUACUUAACCAGAAAGCCACGGCUAACUACGUGCCAGCAGCCGCCGCCU
rnacentral:rRNA from 1 species